GAGUAUAAAGAGUAUGUUUGAAUAGCAGUUCAUACUCUGUUGCUAACAUUUGUGAAAAACCACAGCCCAUGCAUAAAUGUGCAGCUCUGUAGACUACUAGGAAAGUGGGGGUCUGAAUCUUGAUGUCUGCCUUAUGCCACAGCAGCACUGACAACAUCAGGAGGUGCUCCUGAGUAAGAAGAAAAUACGGGACAACCAGGCUACUUUGCAGUGGAACAGCAAAAGUGUAGCAAUGAAGCACUUCAGCUCCAGCCAGAAGUAUCAGAUCUGGUCCCCACAAGGAAUACUAAUGCAGUAGCAUUUUCUGCCUGCACGCUGUAAGCUCUAAAGGAGGUGCCAAGGGAGGUAAGCACUUCCCCUCCUUUGCAAUUCAUAAAGAAGGUAUGACAUGUUAUUGGGGUAUCAUGUAUUUCUCUCUUUGUUGUUUUUAAAUAUAUACUUGAAACAAUGUAAAUUA